AUUGAACGCUGGCGGCAGGCUUAACACAUGCAAGUCGAGCGGAGAUGAGGUGCUUGCACCUUAUCUUAGCGGCGGACGGGUGAGUAAUGCUUAGGAAUCUGCCUAUUAGUGGGGGACAACAUUCCGAAAGGAAUGCUAAUACCGCAUACGCCCUACGGGGGAAAGCAGGGGAUCUUCGGACCUUGCGCUAAUAGAUGAGCCUAAGUCGGAUUAGCUAGUUGGUGGGGUAAAGGCCUACCAAGGCGACGAUCUGUAGCGGGUCUGAGAGGAUGAUCCGCCACACUGGGACUGAGACACGGCCCAGACUCCUACGGGAGGCAGCAGUGGGGAAUAUUGGACAAUGGGCGGAAGCCUGAUCCAGCCAUGCCGCGUGUGUGAAGAAGGCCUUUUGGUUGUAAAGCACUUUCAGCGAGGAGGAAAGGUUGUUGGCUAAUAUCCAACAGCUGUGACGUUACUCGCAGAAGAAGCACCGGCUAACUCCGUGCCAGCAGCCGCGGUAACAC
rnacentral:rRNA from 1 species